UCUAUGUUCAAGUUAAACCUCCAAUAUAGUGAUGGGAUAAAGUUUGUAGUGAUUAUCAAUAUGAUACUUUCUAUUUUACUAUCUUAGAGAUAACUUUUAUCUUAAGCUCCAUAACUGUCUAUAAUGGGUGAGGCAUGCACAUUACCCUACGGAUUUAGUCUCCAACUCAUGUGAGAGUACUUGUGAGGUCCUUCAAUCAAGAAUACUUGGAGUUGGUUUCGAGAAAUCAAGAUACUAUAAGUGGGUGGUGAAGAGCACAUUUAGAUCAUGUUCUUAUGUUGCAAUGCAGUAAUAUUGGCAUCAAAGAUCAAGAUGUCAAUAGCUUUGUCUUCGUAUAAAUGAUUUUAUUGCUCCAUGUAAUUAAAUAUUGUGAAACUGCAGUCAUGCUAGGCAUGAAGAUUAAGCCUUUAUUUUCUAAUUAAUAUAAAUAUUAUCCAUCAAGAUCCUAUGGAACAACAAAUCAACAAACGGCUAUCUUUGUCGACAGUCAGUAACAUGCGAACAGCCAUCAUAACCCCUCUAAGC
rnacentral:lncRNA from 1 species